rnacentral:rRNA from 1 species
UACGUAGGGGGCAAGCGUUGUCCGGAUUCAUUGGGCGUAAAGAGCGUGUAGGCGGCCAGGUAGGUCGGUUGUGAAAACUGGAGGCUCAACCUUCAGAGGUCGACCGAAACCAUCUGGCUAGAGUCCGGGAGAGGAGAGUGGAAUUCCUGGUGUAGCAGUGAAAUGCGUAGAUAUCAGGAGGAAUACCGAUGGCGAAGGCAGGUCUCUGGGCUGACACUGACGCUCAUGCACGAAAGCGUGGGGAGCAACAGG